UCCCUGGUGGCCUAGUGGUUAGGAUCCCAGGUUUUCACUACCGUGGCCUAGGUUCAAUUCCUGGUCAGGGAA
rnacentral:tRNA from 1 species